rnacentral:lncRNA from 1 species
GGAGCUGCUCCCUGGACCUGCGGGAGGUGCUCUGCGACCGCCCACGCCCCGGCCCGCGGCGCGUCCCGGACGUCCACGCUUGCGUUUCUGCGGAUCGUGGGAAUCCUUCUGCGUGGGAGUUUUAGAAAUGCUAACCGAGCUCAGGUUUUGAACAUGUCUGGGACUGUGAAUUGGCUGCCAGAAUGAAUGAUGGGAAGCAGACUCAGCACACAGUCCCCUCUCUGUCUAGGCAAAAGCAGCCAGGCUGAGAGAACCAUGGAGCUCUGAAGCCAGUCCCAAGAAGAAGCAGAAGACAUAAUACAAGCAGAAGACAGGGAGAGAAUAUUCUACGCGUAUAUACACAGGCUCAAAACAGUUUAGGCUAAUCCCUACGGGUAUGCUGCUGCCAAGUUGGUUCUUUUACUGUGCUCAUCAGAAGUGCCAGAAAAAUACCCGCACCCGCCCCCCAUUUAGCCUCUGGAAGAAGAUGUUCUAAAGGGCUCACAAACAUCCAGAUGUAGCUCUUACCAAGCUCCAGCGUCAGAAGGAGUGCCUCAGCGUCUAAGUCCGUAUAUACACACACGGCUUUUCAUGCAUCCUCUGCUGGGGAGGUCACAAUCUGAGGCACCCUUUAAAGCCACUUCUGGGAGAAAAGAAAGAGAAAAAAAAAAAUCAACCACUGAACGUCUAGUGAGCUGUUUCCUAAGGAGGCAUCAACAAACUCCUACCAGCCCCAGUCCUCAGUAACGUCAUGAGAUGGGCUGCUUGUGGUUGUCAAAACUGAUCUUCCCACUGCGGGUGAACACGUACGGCGGAUUGUUAUGGCUUAGGGCGCUUGACUGCACCGCUGUGAAAAUAUUCAGCAGAAUUCCACAAGCUCUUUGUUUGCCUUGCCUUAGUGGAAAUUCCUCCAGCUAUCCAAACACGCACCUGGGGGAGGUGUUUUUUUUUUCCCCCUCCACAUUUCAGGAAGGGGUUUCUUCUAAGUAAAAAUGUGUCCUUACCUCUCU